rnacentral:rRNA from 1 species
CCAGAUGGGUUCUGAGACACGAACCCAGGCCCUAAGGGACGCAGCAGGCGCGAAACCUCCGCAAUGCACGUAAGUGUGACCGGGGGGACCUCAGGUGCUAGCGCUACAAGCGUUAGCUUUUCGUGAGUUUAAAUUGCUCGCGGAAUAAGUGGUGGGUAAGACCGUUGCCAGCCGCCGCGGUAAUAACGGCACCACAAGUGGUGAUCACGUGUAUUGGGUCUAAAGCAUCCGUAGCCGGAUAACCAAGUCAUUUGUGAAACUUCACAGAAAACUGUGAAAAGUGCAAGUGAAACUAGUUAUCUUGGGACCGGGAAGGGUUAGAGGUACUUCUAGGGUAGAGGUGGAAUUCUGUAAUCCUAGAGGGACCACCUGUGGCGAAGGCGUCUAACUGGAACGGAUCCGACGGUGAGGGAUGAAAGCUAGGGGAGCAAAGGGGAUUAGAUACCCCCGUAGUCCUAGCUGUAAACGAUGCCCGCUAGGUAUUGCGUGUUUUUCGUGAACAUGCAGUGCCGUAGGGAAGCCAUUAAGCGGGCCACCUGGGAAGUACGGUCGCAAGGCUGAAACUUAAAGGAAUUGGCGGGGGAGCAC